rnacentral:lncRNA from 1 species
AUACUGUAAGACAAUAGAUAACACACCAAUCAGAAAUGGGACAAAUGUUUCAGAAGACCCGACAAUUGAAGCAAACAAGCAAACAGAGGUGCAGGCCAACACAUUCAUACUGACCAGAAAGGAAUUGAAGGUCUGAAAAUAAAUGCAUAAACAAAUGGUUCAUCACAGGACAACAGCACUGCAUUUGUUAUAAAACCGCAGUCUCAAUUUAACCAUUGAUGCAGACCGGCAUCACUGGAAGUGAUAGUACACGCAAUUAUACCACCAUCUCAACUGGGGUAUUUAUUAUAUCACUUCACAUUCAUUCAUUCUAGCCCAGCAGUCCAUAAGUAAAUAAACAACUCAACUCCAAACAAGAUAACUUCAAGUAUAUCCCCCAACCUACCAUUUUUAUGCCCUCAAAGAAAGAAGCUGUCACACCAUACACCCUUUAUACCGUAUAAUUCAACACAUUCAACACUAUCGACACUGUCACAUUAAGCUUCCCUACUGACCCUGCAACUUUUUCUUAUGUGAUAUUUCUUUACACCUGUAUCCAGGAUUGGAAGGCACUGAAUGCGGACGUAUAUGUGUGUAAAAUUACCAAAACACCCUAGCGGAGCAGGAAAUUUGAAUUGUAGACACAACUCAAAAAUUCAUUCCUACCAGUGUGUGGGUGAAGACAAGAAGGCAGCUUAAUUGCUAAGAAAAGGACGCAAAAAAGACAGCCACCACAUGGGUGUGUGGACAAGCCAAGACACUUCAAUGCUGGCAUUUAUGACAUAGAAAUAUAUAAUUAUGACGUCAUUAAUCAUCAUGCGUGGCCAUUCAUUCCAAUUUUGUAAAAUUCAGAGACAUUUCGGCCAAACGAUAUCAGAAUGUGACACGUGUGGAGAGGCUCA